UUACGGCCACAUUACAUUGAAACACUGAUUGCCGUGCGAUCACCAACGUUAAACAAUGUUGAACAUGAUCAGUAAUUAGAUGGGUGAUCGCUUGGAAAUACCAGGUGCUGUCGG